AACGAACGCUGGCGGCAGGCCUAACACAUGCAAGUCGAGCGAGGUAGCAAUACCUAGCGGCGGACGGGCGAGUAACGCGUGGGAACGUACCCUUUGCUACGGAAUAGCCCCGGGAAACUGGGAGUAAUACCGUAUGUGCCCUUCGGGGGAAAGAUUUAUCGGCAAAGGAUCGGCCCGCGUUGGAUUAGGUAGUUGGUGGGGUAAUGGCCUACCAAGCCGACGAUCCAUAGCUGGUUUGAGAGGAUGAUCAGCCACACUGGGACUGAGACACGGCCCAGACUCCUACGGGAGGCAGCAGUGGGGAAUCUUAGACAAUGGGCGCAAGCCUGAUCUAGCCAUGCCGCGUGAGUGAUGAAGGCCUUAGGGUUGUAAAGCUCUUUCAGAUGGGAAGAUAAUGACGGUACCAUCAGAAGAAGCCCCGGCUAACUCCGUGCCAGCAGCCGCGGAC
rnacentral:rRNA from 1 species